AACGAACGCUGGCGGCGUGCUUAACACAUGCAAGUCGAACGAUGAUGCCCAGCUUGCUGGGUGGAUUAGUGGCGAACGGGUGAGUAACACGUGAGUAACCUGCCCCUGACUCUGGGAUAAGCGUUGGAAACGACGUCUAAUACUGGAUAUGACUGCCGGCCGCAUGGUCUGGUGGUGGAAAGAUUUUUUGGUUGGGGAUGGACUCGCGGCCUAUCAGCUUGUUGGUGAGGUAAUGGCUCACCAAGGCGACGACGGGUAGCCGGCCUGAGAGGGUGACCGGCCACACUGGGACUGAGACACGGCCCAGACUCCUACGGGAGGCAGCAGUGGGGAAUAUUGCACAAUGGGCGAAAGCCUGAUGCAGCAACGCCGCGUGAGGGAUGACGGCCUUCGGGUUGUAAACCUCUUUAGUAGGGAGGAAGCGAAAGUGACGGUACCUGCAGAAAAAGCACCGGCUAACUACGUGCCAGCCGCCGCCGUAAGAC
rnacentral:rRNA from 1 species